rnacentral:rRNA from 1 species
CCUACGGGAGGCUGCAGUAGGGAAUUUUCGUCAAUGGGCGCAAGCCUGAACGAGCAAUGCCGCGUGAACGAGGAAGGUCCUCGGAUCGUAAAGUUCUGUUGAAGGGAAAAAGAGCGGAGAGAGGAAAUGGUCUCCGAUUGAUAUUACCCUUCGAGGAAGUCACGGCUAACUACGUGCCAGCAGCCGCGGUAAUAGGUAGGUGGCGAGCGUUAUCCGGAUUGAUUGGGCGAAAGGGGUGCGUAGGCGGCCUGCUAAGUCUGGAGGGAAAGGUACCGGCUCAACCGGGACAGGCUCUGGAAACUGGCGGGCUAGAGAGUAGGAGAGGGCGGUGGAACUCCAUGUGUAGCGGUGAAAUGCGUAGAUAUAUGGCAGAACACCAGUGGCGAAGGCAGCCGCCUGGCCUGUUACUGACGCUGAGGCACGAAAGCGUGGGGAGCAAAUAGGAUUAGAUACCCUUGUAGUC